rnacentral:misc_RNA from 1 species
UCUCCGUUGGUGAACCAGCGGAGGGAUCAUUACCGAGUUGUACCAACUCCCAAACCCCUGUGAACAUACCGCACGUUGCUUCGGCGGACCGCCCCGGCGCCCGACCCCCCCGGGGGGACGGCCCGGACUCAGGCGCCCGCCGGGGGACCCAAACUCUUGUAUCUUUUUUAUAGCAUGUCUGAGUGGAAUCAUAAACAAAUGAAUCAAAACUUUCAACAACGGAUCUCUCGGUUCUG